rnacentral:rRNA from 1 species
AUUGAACGCUGGCGGCAGGCCUAACACAUGCAAGUCGAACGAGUGGGGACGGGUGAGUAACACGUGGGUAACCUCCCCAUCAGAGGGGAUAACACUUGGAAACAGGUGCUAAACCGAUACUGAUGGAUGGACCGGGGGUGCAUUAGCUAGUGGGUGAGGUAACGGCUCACCACGGCCACGAUGCAUAGCCGACCUGAGAGGGUGAGCGGCCACACUGGAACGGAGACACGGCCCAGACUCCUACGGGAGGCAGCAGUGGGGAAUCUUCCGCAAUGGACGAAAGUCUGACCGAGCAACGCCGCGUGAGUGAAGAAGGUUUUCGGAUCGUAAAGCGCUUUUGUUAGAGAAGCGGUAUCUAACCAGAAAGCACCGGCUAACUACGUGCCAGCAGCCGCGGUAAUAC